rnacentral:rRNA from 1 species
UGCAAGUCGAACGAUGAUGGUGGUGCUUGCAUCACCUGAUUAGUGGCGAACGGGUGAGUAACACGUGAGUAACCUGCCCCUCACUUCGGGAUAACCUCGGGAAAUCGUGGCUAAUACCGGAUAUGAACUUCUACCGCAUGGUGGUCGUUGGAAAGAUUUAUCGGUGAGGGAUGGACUCGCGGCCUAUCAGUUUGUUGGUGAGGUAAUGGCUCACCAAGACGAUGACGGGUAGCCGGCCUGAGAGGGCGACCGGCCACACUGGGACUGAGACACGGCCCAGACUCCUACGGGAGGCAGCAGUGGGGAAUAUUGCACAAUGGGCGAAAGCCCUGAUGCAGCGACGCCGCGUGGGGGAUGACGGCCUUCGGGUUGUAAACCUCUUUCAGUAGGGAAGAAGCGAAAGUGACGGUACCUGCAGAAGAAGCGCCGGCUAACUACGUGCCAGCAGCCGCGGUAAUACGUAGGGCGCAAGCGUUGUCCGGAAUUAUUGGGCGUAAAGAGCUCGUAGGUGGCUUGUCGCGUCUGCCGUGAAAACCCGAGGCUCAACCUCGGGCGUGCGGUGGGUACGGGCAGGCUAAAGUGUGGUANGGGAGACUGGAACUCCUGGUGUACGGUGAAAUGCGCAGAUAUCAGGAANAACACCGAUNGCGAAGGCAGGUCUCUGGGCCAUUACUGACACUGA